GACGAACGCUGGCGGCGUGCUUAACACAUGCAAGUCGAACGGAAAGGCCCUGCUUUUGUGGGGUGCUCGAGUGGCGAACGGGUGAGUAACACGUGAGUAACCUGCCCUUGACUUUGGGAUAACUUCAGGAAACUGGGGCUAAUACCGGAUAGGAGCUCCUGCUGCAUGGUGGGGGUUGGAAAGUUUCGGCGGUUGGGGAUGGACUCGCGGCUUAUCAGCUUGUUGGUGGGGUAGUGGCUUACCAAGGCUUUGACGGGUAGCCGAGCUGAGAGGGUGACCGGCUACGUUAGGAUGGGGAUGCGGCCCAGACUCCUACGGUAGGCAGCAGUGGAGAAUAUUGCACAAUGGGAGGAAGCAUGAUGCAGCAACGCCGCGUGCGGGAUGACGGCCUUCGGGUUGUAAACCGCUUUCGCCUGUGACGAAGCGUGAGUGACGGUAAUGGGUAAAGAAGCACCGGCUAACUACGUG
rnacentral:rRNA from 1 species